AUGGCAGCAGAGCUCCGACAGGACAGCUUAUCACUGACCAGGAGAGCUGGAGAACAAGUCUCCAUCAGCUGUGGAGGCACUGACCAGUGUGAUACUUAUGUGUUCUGGUACCAGAAGAAAGACACAGAAACAUUCAGAGUGGUUCUGAGGAUUGUUAGGAGUAGUGGUGCUAUAAAGAAACAAACUUAUGAUCAUCCUCAGAAAGAAGAUUUCUCAGCUGUGAACAAACAGAACGGCUGUGAGUUACAGAUGCAGAAAGUCAAACGCUCUCAUUCAGCCACCUACUACUGCACCUGCUGGAAAUCCCCACAGUGA